UAAUGGUCAGACGUUGUCAUUUUGGCUUAUUUGUAUACUUUUACUCAAUUCCCAAUCUCAGUCUUCUCUCUAGAACAUCCCACAAAUGCCUCUCUCUCGGUACAAUCACUCUGUCCUCCACCGGAGGCCUCUCUCUCUACCAGCACUCUUCUAGUACGUUUUCCCUCAUAGUCCGUAGGACACGUCCCUUUCUCUCUCUAAUCACUCUUCCCUCAAGCUCAACAGAUCGUCCGGUUUGAUCAUAUGCAUCAGAUCUGUUUUCUUUUAGGGUAAACUUUGGCGGAUGAAGCUUGGGAGAAAAUACAAUUAAAGUUGCUCUCAGUUUCUUUCAUAUUCCAUUUUGCUCUCUCCUUGGAAAUCGAUUAACAGGUUCAAUCCCAAAGAAUUUAGAAACAUAACCAGACUCAAAAGCUUAGUCCUCGGGGACAAUCAGCUUUCUGGAGGUAUUCCUCUAGAGCUUGGGAAUCUUCCCAGGUUGGAGAAAAUACUUCUAAGCUCAAAUUAUUUUACUAGGGAGUUGUCGGGAACACUUGCAAAUCUGACCACUUUGAAGGACUUUAGGAUUAGCAACAACUUUAAAGGAAAGAUACCCAAUUUCAUCCAAAACUGGACAAAACUCCAAAACUUGUAAGAUUUUUACUUUACUUGUUUUGAUAUUUCAAUUUUUCUUUGGAAGAUGUUCUCUGUUUAACCAUUCAUUUAAACAAAAUUAUGACAGGAUGAUUUAGGCUAGUGGUUUGGAUGGGCCAAUUCCUUCUGGAAUUUCUCUCUUGGAAAAUUUGUCUGACUUGUUAGUAAAUUCUUAUAAUCUCAUAGCUUUACCCUUUUAUAUAAGAAAAUAUCUAAUUUAUGUUUAUUCUUUGAUAAAUAAAAACAAAUGCAGGAGAUUCAGUGACUUGAGUGGAAGUGAAACAACUUUUCCACCUCUUAGUAAUAUGAAAAACCUGAAGACACUGAUAUUAAGGAGUUGCAAUAUUAUGGGACAGAUACCUGAUUAUCUUGGAACAAUGACAAAUUUGAAAACCUUAUUAGUUCUUUUCCAUUCUCCAUUUUCAUGUCUCUCAUUUUCUUAAAAAGCGUUUUGAUCACAUACUUAUCUCUUGUUUAAUAGCUCAAAAGCUGACUAAAACUGUAGUAGAAUUUAAAUAUAUAUUCUCUAUAUUUUUGUUGUCUUCCUUGUGUUAUUGAACAUAUAGGCACCUUUAAAACAAUUCAGUGAUGUUAUAUAGUAUUAUUAAAUGAAAUGUUUCCUAUUAUAUAUGUGCUUUAGUUUGAUGAACUUUUGGCACAAUAAAAAAUAAUAUGGCAAGUGGACUUGUGUAUUUAUUAAAUAAGUUUAAGUUUACUCAACUAUCUUUAUUCUUUAAUUUUACAUAUUUAAGUAAAACUCUUAGUACUUCUUUCCAGAAAAAGAGUUGUUUGUACUUUCGUCUACUUGACAAUUGCUUCAAUAUUAGACAAUACAAAGUUAUCUUGGAGCCUUCAUUUAUAUUUUUCUUUGUUGGUCCCUUCGGCUCUUAAUGUUUAAGUUUUGUUUAUAUUUCACUUAAAUUUGAUCUUGUUCCAUGUUUUUUUAAAAAAAAAUUGGAUCAAAAUUUAUUGCUUCGAUGAGUCACAUUAUUGGCAAUUUUUGGAGUACCAGCAUUUCUACAAUUUACCUUGUGAAAUUUUUUAUAUAAUCCAGAUGUUUGAUUCAUCUUUAUGUGUAUCUUAUCUUUCUUCUCAAUGAGACCAGAUUUAUAUAGCAUCAUUCUCCAUUGGAAUGGUAGUAGUUCCUCAUUUUUAAGUACUUCUCAUUAGAAUGGUAGCAGUUGCUCAUUUUAAAGUAAUUCUUUGUACCCUUUGACUAUGGAUCUAACAAUGUCUACUUUCUCUCUCUACACAACUAUUCAAUUUGUAAUGAGACUAUAUUGGUCUUUGCUCGUCAAGCACCAAAGCACAAGGACAAGGACAGAUGUUUUUAUUCCUCAAGUGAAUGAGAUUGCUUAUUGAAAGAGACAAAGUGGAUUUUGAGGCAAGAUCCCUAUGUUUGCAUAUAUUUCUUCUCUCCCCCUUUUUCUCUCUCUAUAUAUGUAUAUUUAGAUCUAUAUUGUGUUGUUUCUUGAAUUUUUCUACUAGUUAAUUCUUAUACACAACUAUUCAAUUUGAUUUGGUUUUUAAAAAAUAAUUGGAGGCAACAAUCCUACAUUUAAAGAGAAAUUCAUGUUUACUCUGAUUUGAGGGCUUGGAGAGUUGAAUAUUGUGAUCUGGAAUAGCAAUAUUAUCUCUGUGGUGUUUUGCUACUUCUAGGGUCCAAUCACAAAAUGUCCUUUUUCAAGGCUACGAUGACAACCUUCACCACUUCAGACUGACAGAUAUAUGUUCUCGACUAAAGAUCAUUACUUCAUGAUUAACUCAGGUCUGGUGAAUUUUGAUUACUUCUGUUAAAUUCAUAAGAUCCUAAAUUGAAUGAAUGAUGAGGUUGUGUUUAUUUGUAAAUCAAUUGGGGGACUUUAUCUUAAUUUGGUUAUUUUCCAGCUGUAAAAAUGGAUUGUUGCAGUUCUUUUCAUGGUUCUUGUCUACGCCAGCGAGUCAAUAAGGAUCUACCUAUUUAGAAAUAUACUUAUGUCGUCUUUAACAAUUUUGAUGUAAAAGGACACAACAGGUUUCAUUAUUACAUUAUAUAUUGAGGAUGGUUUGGUCAAUUAUCUCUGGAAGAUUACAAAAUUAUCACUUACUGCAAUUAGUUGGGGUGGAGGCUUUUUUUUAUAGUUAAUUUAAGUGUCAUUUAUUGUAUUUCUAAUUCAUGUUUACAAUGUCAAUUAGUGAAGUAUGAGCCAUCUUCUAGCAGUGUUCUUGGACCCAAUGUUAUUUACAACUCCAAGAAUCAAGGUGAUUCAGGUUCCCGUGGACAGUUGCAUAUGUUGUCUACAUCAAUUCUUCUACCUGAGUGACCUGAUCAACCUGAAUGCCGAUAUUUCAUUGGCACUGGGAGAUGCAAAUAUGGGUUUGAUUGCAAGUAUAAUCAUCUUAUGAAGGGAAGCUCAGUUGUUCAUCUUUCAGCGGCAGUCAGCACCACUACCACAACCACCUGAAUGACCAAUAUGAUUGUCUUCUCUUUAGUCAAUUGAAUAUUAAAGACAUUUGAGCAUUCUAGCUUAAUAUUUAGUUAAUAUCGCGUAAUCUUUUUGGUUAAUGGAUUAUUUGAGUUGGUAUGUUUUGUUGAAUAUUUGGCUAAUUAUACUGUGUUGUAAACAUUUUAUUAUGAUAAUUAAUGGUUUAUUUCCGUC